rnacentral:lncRNA from 1 species
AUUUACCAGUUGCCUAAUUACGAAAAGUUUCAUAUGACAUUAACCUCAAAAAUGAUCUUUGAAAACAAACAACAACAAACAGAGCAACAAAUGAACAAAUAACUACAUAAUGACUGAUAAUGAUAAGUGAUAAAAAUAACUUUAAUGAUAUGAAGGCUGAUGAAGUUUUAGACAACCAAUACAAGAUUUUAGAACUUGACAUCGUGAUAAACAAAUUGUACAUUCAGGAACUCGUUUAAAUAUUAUAGGUUGAUUGACGAAUAUUCUACAGUUGAUUAGAGCCCAUGAUGAUGCGAAGAUAAUUAAUAUCACCUAACUUCAAGAAACCAGCGUAAAGAAGUUUACAUUCACAACUCAUCUAACCAUUAUAGAUCAGUAAUGUCGUCAUAAUUUAAAUGAACUCACAGAUAGCAAUGGGGCACUGCACCGAAGCAGUAUUACAAAAUAUGUGAAAUAAAACUGUAAUACAAAUUGCUCUAUAAAAUUUAAUAGAAAUAAAUUUAUUUAUGAAAAUUAAGUUAUGAAGUUUUAUUUUUCCUAGGAAAAAAAUAACAUUUAUAUUUUGAUCAAUUUAGAACAUUACAGUUAAAAAAAUAUGUGUUAGAAUAACAUAUUUUUAAUAAAAUUGCAGCUUUUAAUUUUUAUACUUUUUUGCUUUUAUAUCAAUAAGAACUAACGUAAGGAACAAUUCAUAUUUAUACUAUGAAAACACAUGCAUAUUUUUUGAUGUUUUUAAAACCAGUGAAUGAUGUUGAAAUAUACUACACCUAUUAUUCUUAUUAACUAACUUUAAUUACAAACUUACACAUUAUUGUCAUUGGAAAUAAAUUAAUUUGGAUAUUCUA